UUCAAAUAAUCCAUUUUUGAUUUCUGC
rnacentral:sRNA from 1 species